GCGCUGGCUUCGGCAGCACAUACACUAAAAUUGGAACAAUGCAGAGAUUAGCAUGGCCCCUGUGCAUGAAUGACACACAAACUAGUGAAGCGUUCCAUAUUUUU
ensembl:snRNA U6 U6 spliceosomal RNA